CAGAAUUCAUUUUGUAGAUGAUUGUGGCCUUUUAGCAGCGUGGCCAUCUGAGAUUUUAACUGAAACAUAAGAAAGUGUAAUGGUUAAACUGGUCUCUGUACAGUAAUGAUAAUGUAAUGAUAAUGGUUAAACUGGUCUCUGUACAGUAAUGAUAAUGGUUAAACUGGUCUGUACAGUAAUGAUAAUGGUUAAACUGGUCUCUGUACAGUAAUGAUAAUGGUUAAACUGGUCUCUGUACAGUAAUGAUAAUGUAAUGAUAAUGGUUAAACUGGUCUCUGUACAGUAAUGAUAAUGGUUAAACUGGUCUGUACAGUAAUGAUAAUGGUUAAA